rnacentral:lncRNA from 10 species
CAGCAAUGGGAGUGGGGAGGGUCAGAUGUGGUCGGCAAUGGGAGUGGGGAGGGUCAGGUGUGGUCAGGAUGGGAGUGGGGAGGGGCAGGUAUAGACAGGAUGGGAGUGGGGAGGGUCAAGUGUGGUCAGGAUGGGAGUGGGGAGGGUCAGGUGUAGACAGGAUGGGAGUGGGGAGGGUCAGGUGUAGACAGGAUGGGAGUGGGGAAGGGCAGCUUUAUGGAGGGAGGGUGAGAAGGUCAGGCGUGGUCGGGAUGGGAGUGGGGAGGGCCAGGUGUGGUCAGGAUGGGAGUGGGGAGGGGCAGGUGUGGUCAGGAUGGGAGUGGGGAGGGGCAGGUUUAUGGAGGGAGGGCGAGAAGGUCAGGCGUGGUCGGGAUGGGAGUGGGGAGGGGCAGGUGUGGUCAGGAUGGGAGUGGGGAGUGUCAGGUGUGGUCAGGAUGGGAGUGGGGAGGGUCAGGUGUAGACAGGAUGGGAGUGGGGAGGGUCAGGUGUAGACAGGAUGGGAGUGGGGAGGGUCAGGUGUGGUCAGGAUGGGAGUGGGAGGGUCAGGUGUGGUCAGGAUGGGAGUGGGGAGGGUCAGGUGUAGACAGGAUGGAAGUGGGGAGGGUCAGGUGUGGUCAGGAUGGGAGUGGGGAGGGUCAGGUGUGGUCAGGAUGGGAGUGGGGAGGGUCAGGUGUGGUCAGGAUGGGAGUGGGGAGGGUCAGGUGUGGUCAGGAUGGGAGUGGGGAUUUCCA